GUCACCACUUCGAGCGACCUGAGUCUUUUCCACAACUGAAAUCUCCAUUUCAAGCGUUUCUGGUACUUGCUCUGCGGCCACAGGUUUUAACCCUUUGCCGUGCUUGUGUUUCCGUAUGCUGAACGCCCCCCUGGACGAAAUUUUGACGCUAUUUUUGGUGUAAUAAUAGCCAACAUAAACAGGAUUUCGUGUUCCUGUGAGUAGGGCCAGUGCCCUGAAGGCAUUUCUACGUAAACUGCCACCUGCAAAGGGCUGUUGCUUACCUGAUGCUACUUGAAGAAAACUGACAUAAAAUUUUUCUGGAAGCAGCAUCUAUCUCUCUGGCAUAAUGCAGUCGCCCUCCACAGCCUUCUGCAUCAGCAAGUUCCAGAAGUUCACUUAGGUGCAGUUGGAUGCAUGUUAUGCUAGAGCGCAGGAGAGGGGAUCAUCUGUGCCAGAUCUUUCUGCUUUCCAAUACAAAAUGCCAGAGGCUGCCAGGACACAGUGUUGACUCACACAGAAAAAAGAUACUGGGAUAUAUGCGGACCAGAACCUGAAUAUAUAUUGACAAACCAUCUCAAAAACUACG